AAUGGAGGCAACUCUGAUCCAGCCAUGCCGCGUGCAGGAAGACGGCCUAUGGGUUGUAAACUGCUUUUGUACAGGAAGAACGUUAGUACGUGUACUAGCCUGACGGUACUGUAAGAAUAAGGAUCGGCUAACUCCGUGCCAGCAGCCGCGGUAAUACGGAGGAUCCAAGCGUUAUCCGGAAUCAUUGGGUUUAAAGGGUCCGCAGGCGGUCUAUUAAGUCAGAGGUGAAAUCCUAUCGCUCAACGAUAGAACUGCCUUUGAUACUGGUAGACUUGAGUUAUUGUGAAGUAGUUAGAAUGUGUAGUGUAGCGGUGAAAUGCAUAGAUAUUACACAGAAUACCGAUUGCGAAGGCAGAUUACUAACAAUAUACUGACGCUCAGGGACGAAAGCGUGGGUAGCGAACAGGAUU
rnacentral:rRNA from 1 species